GGGAUAGCUCAGCUGGUAGAGCAGAGGACUGAAAAUCCUCUGCAC
rnacentral:tRNA from 3 species